CAUUUAUAACCAAAGACUACUAGCAGUUACUGAUAUGCCAGUUCAAGACCUCAAUUACUCCGAUUGAAAGAUUAUGUCUUCAUCAAAUGCAUAUCAAGCGCAACUCCUCCCGUUAGGGGUUUAGUAUUUUACCAUCAUAAAAUAUAUGUGAAGAACAUAACUGUUGUCACACAAACUGGGUUAAGAAUAUAAGUGUUAAAUUCCGAUGAAAAGACCCCAUAAGUGUAAUAUGAAGAAGGCGCUACCUUAAAUGCCAGCUUUAUACUAAGAAAAUGCUCUAUAUAUUGAUUGAUUGUUGUUUGUUGAACGUCCAGUGGCAGAUAUUUCAUGCAUGUUCAGAACAAAUGUGCUAGGCUACAUUAAAGUAUUGUUUAUGUCUAAAAUAAAAUUUUAAGUUCAGAUGGAAAAUAAUUUUAAUUGAUAGCGCUGAAGGGCUUUGCUAACUAAUAAAAACCUGACUCGAAUAAAAAAAACAUUUGUAUUUCUGGUCAUCUGCAGUUUGUGAGUUCUACAUCAAUGUCAUGUACUAAUUCAGAGUCGGUUUCAUGUCAUUUCUUGCAUGCAUAUAUUUUUUUUUUGUUACAUGACCAUUGUGUAGCUUACUUUUCAAGUUUCUAUAUGACAGCAAAAUAAAAUUGAGAAAUGAAAUGGGAAAUACAAGCAUGUCAAAAAUUUGUUUGGAGAAAUGCUUAAUCAUGUCAUAGUUGUUUUCAAGAAGACACGUUUGGUUUCAGACAAUAACUUGAGUAUAAGUGAAUGGAUCUCCAUGAAAUUUUACUAGGAGGUUCAAUUCACAAAGGAAGUUUAUAAUUGAUUUUGGGGUUAUAGUACAACAUUAUGGUUUUUUUUCAAAACUUUGGGUUUUUCUUAAAAAAAUUACAUUAUUUACAUUGAAUAUACUCAUCUAGUAUAUAUAGGUGCAACACAUACUGGUUUGGCAAGAUAUGCACUCAAAAUAGGGUGUUUUAAAUAUUUUAUUUGUAAUUUGUGUAUUUUCCCUAUGAUAUGUACUUCUUGAUAAUGUCGAUGUGAGUAUCCUGAUAACAAAAAUAUAUUUGGUAAGUAUAUAUUCAUCAUUGACAUGCGUCAGUGCGCUG
rnacentral:lncRNA from 1 species